GCCAGUUCAGGACGAUAUGAACCAUUUCAAAACCCGUACAGUGUGAGUUCGAAUCUCACCGAGGGCACCA
rnacentral:tRNA from 1 species